UCCACGAGUAGCCGCUGUCGCAAGUAUCAAGAAGAACUGUCAAAUUUUUAAAAAGUUUCACUGUUAGCUGAACCUCCAAAUAAAUAAGUUCCAAGUGGUCGGUGGCUUUUUGAACAAAAAAAGGAAUCACCUUUUAGUUAUUUUUUUUUAUACGGAAGCUAUCGUAAUUAAGUUGAAGGAGGAGAAAGUUUUGUUUUGUUGAAGGAGAAAAGUAUUAAUUUGGUAAAAAUUUGGGAUGAUUGCUAUCGGCCACUUGGAACCACUGGAAUAUUCAUCCCACUAACAUCAGGGAUGAAAUAAAAAAAAACUUUAGCGCAGUCACGGGGUAGCCUAGGAGCUGGAAUCGUCUUUUGAGUUGGUUUUUGGACUAUCAUUAUUUUGUUUGGAACUUUGGAAAAGACUUUACGUUAGUUGGUGUUGGACAGUGAUUAAG
rnacentral:lncRNA from 1 species